rnacentral:rRNA from 1 species
AGCUCAAAUUUAAAAUCUGGCAGCCUUGUGUUGUCCGAGUUGUAAUUUGCAGAGGAUGCUUUGGCAUUGGCGGCGGUCUAAGUUCCUUGGAACAGGACAUCGCAGAGGGUGAGAAUCCCGUACGUGGGCGCCUGCCUUUGCCGUGUAAAGCUCCUUCGAC